GCCCGAUUGGUGAAAUGGUAGACACGCGGGAUUUAGGUUCCCGUGCCUCGCGGCGUGAGGGUUCGAGUCCCUUGUCGGGCACCA
rnacentral:tRNA from 1 species